rnacentral:rRNA from 1 species
UACGUAGGAGGCGAGCGUUGUCCGGAAUCACUGGGCGUAAAGCGCGUGUAGGCGGAUGACUAAGUUUGCUGUGAAAGCGCCUGGCUUAACUGGGCGAGGUCGGCGAAAACUAGUCGUCUGGAGGCCGGUAGAGGGGGGUGGAAUUCCUGGUGUAGCGGUGAAAUGCGCAGAUAUCAGGAGGAACACCGGUGGCGAAGGCGGGUCUCUGGGCCGAUACUGACGCUGAGGAGCGAAAGCGUGGGGGAGCGAACAGG